rnacentral:lncRNA from 1 species
GAACAAAAAAAGGCCGGCUACUCCCGCAAUAUUUUUUAUACACUUUCAAACUCUAAAGGUUGCUAGGGCUGCAAGGGGAUUGGGUUGAUCUCCGAAAUUAGCCCAGUCCAACCUAAAAUGAAGUUAUUUGAAUUAGCCCAGAUUUGAAAAUAUAAUCUAUUUUUGAUAUGGACUGAAUUUGGAUUCUUAAGUUCCAAUUAGAAUC